CACGUAGGGCGCAAGCGUUGUCCGGAAUUAUUGGGCGUAAAGAGCUCGUAGGCGGUCUGUUACGUCUGCUGUGAAAACUCGGGGCUUAACCCCGAGCUUGCAGUGGAUACGGGCAGACUAGAGGUAGGUAGGGGAGAAUGGAAUUCCCGGUGUAGCGGUGAAAUGCGCAGAUAUCAGGAGGAACACCGGUGGCGAAGGCGGUUCUCUGGGCAUGAUCUGACGCUGAGGAGCGAAAGUGUGGGGAGCGAACAGG
rnacentral:rRNA from 1 species